rnacentral:tRNA from 2 species
GCCUCCGUAGCUCAAUUGGAUAGAGCAGCCGGUUUCUACCCGGCAUGUUGCGGGUUCGAUUCCUGCCGGGGGCGCCA